GGGUCAGUAGGUUGGUCGUGCCACCGGUACGUACUGGUCUCACUGAUUCCUCCUUCCUGAAGGACCGUAAUGCCAUUAAUUUGGUGUUGCGGGGAAACAGGACUGUUACUUUGAAAAAAUUAGAGUGUUUAAAGCAAGCUAACGCUUGAAUACAUUAGCAUGGAAUAAUGAAAUAGGACGAUCGAUCCUAUUUUGUUGGCUUCUAGGAUUGACGUA
rnacentral:rRNA from 1 species